rnacentral:tRNA from 1 species
GAGGUAGCUCAAUGGCAGAGCAUCCGGCUGUUAACCGGAGGGUUGUGGGUUCGAGCCCCACCCUC